AGUCAACACCACACAGGCAACCAGCUCAUUGCCCAGAGCUGGAUGGGUCUAUUAUAACGCCUGCCACUUCAUCUUGGGACCCAGUUGAAGCACAAGUGACUCAUCACACAGAGGGAGGUGGCUUGGCCAUGGAGACGGAAAUAAGAGCAAUAAGGACAACCAUUACCGCAUGGCACAGCGAAUGGACGCAUUUGAGGAGAAGAUGGAUGAGCUGCUCAUGCUCUUAAGGAGCUCCCAGUCACCUCCCUCUGCUCCAGUCGAUGACAUAUUGCUGUUGUCCUGCUCGACAGUCACUGAGCUGCAGGAGAGGAGGAACAAAAUGCCCUCCCUCCAGGACUUGUACUCUGGGACCUAAGCGGGCAGAGACCAUCACCAAAGACUCCACAUAUCCUGCACACACACUCUUUAACUUCCUCCCCUCUGGCAGGCGCUACAGAUCCCUGCACACAAAAACAACCAGACACAAGAACAACUAUUUUCCCACUGCCGUCACUCUCCUGAACUGCAGAUAAGUGGGGUCAUCCCCACUUUGACCGUUCACCUGCACAUUACAUACUUUAU